AUUGAACGCUGGCGGCAGGCCUAACACAUGCGAGUCGAGCGGAUGAAGGGAGCUUGCUCCUGGAUUCAGCGGCGGACGGGUGAGUAAUGCCUAGGAAUCUGCCUGGUAGUGGGGGAUAACGUCCGGAAACGGGCGCUAAUACCGCAUACGUCCUGAGGGGGAAAGUGGGGGAUCUUCGGACCUCACGCUAUCAGAUGAGCCUAGGUCGGAUUAGCUAGUUGGUGGGGUAAAGGCCUACCAAGGCGACGAUCCGUAACUGGUCUGAGAGGAUGAUCAGUCACACUGGAACUGAGACACGGUCCAGACUCCUACGGGAGGCAGCAGUGGGGAAUAUUGGACAAUGGGCGAAAGCCUGAUCCAGCCAUGCCGCGUGUGUGAAGAAGGUCUUCGGAUUGUAAAGCACUUUAAGUUGGGAGGAAGGGCAGUAAGUUAAUACCUUGCUGUUUUGACGUUACCAACAGAAUAAGCACCGGCUAACUUCGUG
rnacentral:rRNA from 1 species